AUUUCUAUAGUGUAACUAACAUAUUGUCCUUUCAAGACAAAGAUAUUUUUUAGAAAUU
rnacentral:tRNA from 1 species